GGACAAUGGGCGCAMGGNANUCCAGCCAUGCCGCGUGAGUGAUGAAGGCCUUAGGGUUGUAAAGCUCUUUUGCCGGGGACGAUAAUGACGGUACCCGGAGAAUAAGUCCCGGCUAACUUCGUGCCAGCAGCCGCGGUUAAUACGAAGGGGACUAGCGUUGUUCGGAAUCACUGGGCGUAAAGCGCACGUAGGCGGAAUUGUAAGUCAGGGGUGAAAUCCCGGGGCUCAACCUCGGAACUGCCUUUGAUACUGCGAUUCUCGAGUCCGAUAGAGGUGGGUGGAAUUCCUAGUGUAGAGGUGAAAUUCGUAGAUAUUAGGAAGAACACCGGUGGCGAAGGCGGCCCACUGGAUCGGUACUGACGCUGAGGUGCGAAASGUGGGGAGCAAACAGGAUUAGAUACCCUGGUAGUCCACGCCGUAAACUAUGGAUGCUAGCCGUCGGAAGCUUGCUUGUCGGUGGCGCASCAACGCMUUAAGCAUCCCGCCUGGGGAGUACGGCCGAAGKUAAMNACUCAAAGAAUUGACGGGGGCCGCACAGCGUGGACAUUGUUGUUUAAUUCGACGCACGCAAGAACCUUACCAGCCCUGCA
rnacentral:rRNA from 1 species